CCUACCUGUAGGUGGCCAACGCCGGGCGCUGGGCCGCCGCUCCUGCCUUGCACGUUAGAGAGCCGGUACAUGCAGGUGGGAAGCUCCACACGGAGAGGCGCGCCGCGCCCGUGAUAAGGUUUUACCUGGUACAUCGGCAUGGCGGAACCAAAGCAAGAGAGGGUGGCGCGUGCCAAACACCAACGCUCAGAAACCGUCCGAGGCUACGACUGGGGGCGGACAUCUCCCUUGUGACCCUGCUGCGGUCGUUCGGGAAAAAAAAAAAAAGCAGUCCGGUGUGCUCUGAUUGGCCCAUGCUCUUUGACGUCACGGACUCGACCUUUGACGGAGCUAAUAGGCGAAAAGGAGAGACGGGAAGUAUUUUUUCCGCCCCGCCCAGAAAGGGUGGAGCACAACGUCAAAAGCAGCCAAUGGGAGCCCAGGAGGCGGGGCGCCUGUGGGAGUCGUGGAGGGAACUUUCCCAGGCCCCGAGGCGGAUCGGGUAUUGAGUCCAUGGAGCGAGCUGAGAGCUAGAGUACAGAACCUGCUAAGGCCAUCAAACCUAUCGAUCGGAAGUCAGUCCAUCAGAUUUGCUCUGGGCCGGUGGUACUGAGUCUAAGCACUGCGGUGAAGGAGUUAGUAGAAAACAGUCUGGAUGCUGGUGCCACCAAUAUUGAUCUAAAGCUUAAGGACUAUGGAGUGGAUCUCAUUGAAGUUUCAGACAAUGGAUGUGGGGUAGAAGAAGAAAACUUUGAAGGCUUAACGAUGUCACCAUUUCUACCUGCCACGCAUCGGCGAAGGUUGGGACUCGACUGGUGUUUGAUCACGAUGGGAAAAUCAUCCAGAAAACCCCCUACCCCCACCCCAGAGGGACCACAGUCAGCGUGAAGCAGUUAUUUUCUACACUACCUGUGCACCAUAAGGAAUUUCAAAGGAAUAUUAAGAAGACGUGCCUGUUUCCCCUUCGCCUUCUGCCGUGAUUGUCAGUUUCCUGAGGCCUCCCCAGCCAUGCUUCCUGUACAGCCUGCAGAACUGAUGGCCGUAUAAGAAAAUAAACAACUUGCUAAAACUGCUGAAACUCCCUCUGCUUGUGAGAUUUAAAAAAACUGGCUGAAAUUGGUUGGAACCAACAUGUCCAAUGGAGUCUGAAUAGAAAGAGCUUGCUGACAUCACAGCCCGAAUUUCCACCACAUUUCAUACUAACUCCCCCUGAAUUUGCAUAUGCAAACCACAAGCAAGCAUGAUCAAACAGACAACUGCGCGUGUCCGAGGACUUUCCAGAUCUCCCCUUUCCUUCCACCAAUCACUUACUAAUCUGAGAAUCCAUCCCCUAAUAAAAUCACUGCCUUAAAGCCUGCACAGGAAGACAAAUUUGAGCUGGACUCAGUGUCUCUUUAUUAGUCGACUUGCAAUAAAAAAGCUUUCUUUUCCCCCCUCAAAAACCCUAUGUCAAUUAGUAUUGGCUUCCAGAGCAUCAGGUAGUGAGCCCCUUUUGCUCAGUAACAGAGCUUAAGGUGAAUAAAAAAGGCAAAUAAUGAUAUGGUUCAAGACAUCAUUACGAAAGCAUGGCUGGAAAACUGCUAGCCUUACCAAGUGCAUAAAAAACAUGAAAAUUAUUUAUUGAUAAGCAUUAGUCAUAAAAGUGUACUCUACCUCAAUUUAAAUACUGCUUAUGUGUGGAUUACACAAACAACCAUGUAUGCAGUAGCUACUUCAAAG
rnacentral:lncRNA from 1 species